GAGAGGAGCUUGCUCCUCGAUUCAGCGGCGGACGGGUGAGUAAUGCCUAGGAAUCUGCCUAGUAGUGGGGGACAACGUUUCGAAAGGAACGCUAAUACCGCAUACGUCCUACGGGAGAAAGUGGGGGAUCUUCGGACCUCACGCUAUUAGAUGAGCCUAGGUCGGAUUAGCUAGUUGGUAGGGUAAAGGCCUACCAAGGCGACGAUCCGUAACUGGUCUGAGAGGAUGAUCAGUCACACUGGAACUGAGACACGGUCCAGACUCCUACGGGAGGCAGCAGUGGGGAAUAUUGGACAAUGGGCGAAAGCCUGAUCCAGCCAUGCCGCGUGUGUGAAG
rnacentral:rRNA from 1 species